rnacentral:rRNA from 1 species
AUUGAACGCUGGCGGCAGGCCUAACACAUGCAAGUCGAGCGAGCGGCGGACGGGUGAGUAAUGUCUGGGGAACUGCCCGAUGGAGGGGGAUAACUACUGGAAACGGUGGCUAAUACCGCAUACUAUCGGAUGAACCCAUAUGGGAUUAGCUAGUAGGUGGGGUAACGGCUCACCAAGGCGACGAUCCCUAGCUGGUCUGAGAGGAUGACCAGCCACACUGGAACUGAGACACGGCCCAGACUCCUACGUGAGGCAGCAGUGGGGAAUAUUGCACAAUGGGCGCAAGCCUGAUGCAGCCAUGCCGCGUGUAUGAAGAAGGCCUUCGGGUUGUAAAGUACUUUCAGCGGGGAGGCGUUACCCGCAGAAGAAGCACCGGCUAACUCCGUGCCAGCAGCCGCGGUAAUUC